UUCAACUUGAUUUGAAUUGAAUUUGUAGUUUGACCAUACUUUGUUCAUUUUAUUUUAUGCUUUAUUUUAAUUCCAAAAAUACCAAAAAUAUGUUUGACCUUUAUUGACUUCUAAUCUUCAUUUCACAUCUGUUUAUCAUUGAUUGAUGUUGAUUUCAUUCACAUUUGAUCAUUGUGUUUUGAUUAUGUCAUUCGGAUUCUCAUUUUGUCCA
rnacentral:lncRNA from 1 species